rnacentral:lncRNA from 10 species
AUAGGUAUUCAAUUGACCCAGCACCAUUUAUUGAAAAGGCUAUCCUCUUACUGAAAUGCAGCAAAGUUGUUGUCUUAAAUCAGGUCAUCAAACAUUUGGAUUUCAAGUGCAGAAUCAAAGACAUAUAACCAUAAUAAAAUGCAAAAUCACAAGCCCUCAGAAUCAGAAGGGAUGUCAAGGAAAAUGCCUUCCCUCUCUCCACCUCUCUGAAUGCAGAACACUGAAGCUUCUGUGCAUCUGGUGAGCACGUGGUACAGAAUUGCAAGUUUCAUGAGCCCUGAUUAACUUCUCAUAGAGGCUGGCUGUGUUAGACUUUUGCUAAGGCCAAGAGUUUUAUUUUGUU